rnacentral:rRNA from 1 species
CACGUAGGCACCAAGCGUUGUCCGGAUUUAUUGGGCGUAAAGAGCUCGUAGGCGGUUCGGUAAGUCGGGUGUGAAACUCUGGGCUCAACCCAGAGCCGCCACCCGAUACUGCUGUGACUUGAGUUCGGUAGGGGAGCGGGGAAGUCCUGGCGUAGCGGUGAAAUGACGCAGAGUAUCAGGAGGAACACCAGUGGCGAAGGCGCCGCUCUGGGCCGAGACUGACGCUGAGGAGCGAAAGCGUGGGUAGCAACAGG